rnacentral:rRNA from 1 species
GACAGAGGGUGCAAACGUUGUUCGGAAUUACUGGGCGUAAAGCGAGUGUAGGCGGUGUGGUAAGUCGGAUGUGAAAGCCCCGGGCUCAACCCGGGAAGUGCAUUCGAUACUGCCACGCUAGAGUAUCGGAGAGGUUGGUGGAAUUCUCGGUGUAGAGGUGAAAUUCGGUAGAUAUCGGGAGGAACACCGGUGGCGAAGGCGGUUCUCUGGGCCUGUACUGACGCUGAGGAGCGAAAGCGUGGGGAGCAAACAGG